CCCUUAGAUGUUCUGGGCUGCACGCGCGCUACACUGAUGCACUCAACGAGUUUACGACCUUGCCCGAUAGGGUUGGGUAAUCUUUUUAAAAUGCAUCGUGAUGGGGAUAGAUUAUUGCAAUUGUUAAUCUUCAACGAGGAAUUCCUAGUAAGCGCGAGUCAUCAGCUCGUGCUGAUUACGUCCCUGCCCUUUGUACACACCGCCCGUCGCUCCUACCGAUUGAGUGCUCAGGUGAAUAAUUCGGACUGCAGCAAUGUUUGGAUCCCGAACGUUGCAGCGGAAAGUUUAGUGAACCUUAUCACUUAGAGGAAGGAGAAGUCGUAACA
rnacentral:rRNA from 1 species